AAAGUAAAAGAAAGAAAGAAACAAAGAAGAAAAGAAACAGAAUAGCUAGAAAAGAAGCAGGGAAAGAGACGAAAACAGGGGAAGAUAAGGGGAAAGAAAAAUAAAAGGGAAAACUAAGGAUUUAAAGCUUCAAGUUAAUUGCUAACAAGGAAAAUGAGGCAUCGGCAUCUAAAGGAAAAGAAAAGAUCGUUGAGGAGUAAACGCGUAUUCCGGGUUGAAAAGGGGUUAGAGUCUCGGUUCAGCAUCCAGGACAAUCCCGACUCCGACAUAAAGAUUUUGGUGAUGUUUUCUUCCUUUAAGAGAAAGUGGCAUGUACAUAGGAUUUAUAAUAGUUAUUUUGGCAUGUUAUAUAGUUUUGUUGUAAAGUAAGAUAUUAUGUGUUUUGAUGAGUAUAUUAGAAAAAUGGUAUAAGUUAUUUUUAUAGCAUUGGUAUCAAGUUGAAAUUAGUUA